GUGACGUCCAUCUCACGGAGCUUCUUCAUAGCUUGCUCGCCGACAGCAACAGGAGGCAGGAGAUGGCGCACUUCUUGGCCGUGUUCCUGGGGCUCGGGUCCAGCAGUUGCGGCAGUGCCGCACCCACGGCCUCGCGCGCGCGUCCGAAGGAAAGCCACAACACCUGACGCGACGGAGGAGGGAGAUUGGGAAGCGGCCUGUGGCGGCGGAGAGACCUCGGGAGGCGGCCUACGGCGGCGGAGGCCCCUCGGAGGCGGACGGAGAAGAGGAAACGGCGAGAAAGAUAAGCCACGGUUUUUUGUUUACAUUUUUAUCCAUGCCUGAUACUUCGUUCGUUCUUUUUCAGUACUCCGUUGGGGUACUCCACGAUCCUAAAUUUGAGUAAGGGGGAGUACCAACUUAACUGAGCCUUUAGAUCAAAACAAAUUAACGGUCUUAAUUAAUUUCAGGGUAACAUAGAAGAGGUAUUAAUUAAUUUCGGGGUAACAUACAAGAGCUCAUAAAAAAACCUGUUGAGAAGAUUAUGGUCAAAGGCGAAAAGAUUCUGGAAGAAAAAGUUUAGCUCAAGAAACAUGCCAUCGAGCCAAUUGCCAGACGGAGUUGUCUCUUGUCGUAGCCCCAAAUCCUUGUCCAUCAAGUGCGCAGGGUGUUCAUUGUCCGUAGAGACAUCCCCUAAAACAUCAUUACCUAGGAAACAAGGCAGGCAGGCAGUGCGUGGUCAUUAUUGCACCAACAACUAACAUACAUGCAAGUGAGCUCUUCAGGGUACACAUGGCUAAAUGCGGUAAGCACUGGUAGGGCACUCACUUUCGUCAGAUCGAUGGGAGCUGCUAGGUCUGGCAGUUCUCUCCUCUUGCGCCGAUCGUCUUUUCUCGAUCGACGCCUGGUGAGCACGCAAAAUGGACCAACCAGCUGAGGAUGACAACAGCUGAACUAUAUAAUAAGGCACAACAAUAUGGAGGAAGUAGAACCACAACCCGCAGGGGUCUGAACCACUUGCUCUUGAACAAUGGACUGAGUAGGUCCACUUCUGUCGUCUGGCACAGGUCAGCCUCUCGUGCCCAGAUGGGUAAGUGGAUGCGUCGGGUUAGGCCUAUUCUUCCACUCCUGAUAAGAACACAAUAUGGACAAGACAAGCAAGCAGCAUGACAACAAUCUGUUCGGGUGCAGAAUCAAAGAGCAUAUAUGAAAUAAGGAACGACGGUACGGAGGAAGUAGCACCACGGCUUCGGAGCUAGCCGCUGAGGUCGGAGUCCUUUCCUCUUGAACGAAGUGGUCAAUUUCUGAAACUGCCUCGGUAGGUCUAGCGCUCCUCUCUUCUAGCACAUAUCGCACAGGUAGGCUUAGCACUAAGGGGUCAAUUUCAGAAUCUGGAUCAGCACCUGAAACUUCUUCAGAAUUACUCGAUUCUCGAUUUGUGCCGUUAUGAUCUGGGGUUCUCAUUCCUGGCAAGAUGCCCAGACUGUUUGAGAAACCACUGUUGUUCUUGUCUUGCGGCUGCUUCGGUGGCUUCUAAGAAGCACAGGAAAAAAAUUGAUCAAUCAAACAAGAAUUGCAACAAUUAAUUUGCAACCACAACCAAACGAAGGUAUUAAAUAUGGCACGAUACCAUGGUAGAAAGAACUACAGAUGCGUCUUGAAGGCUCGAAUUACACAAUGGUUGUCCCAGAUGUGAAUGCUUUUUACUAACACUCUCAGUGGUAGGUCCUUCAGUACUCAAGGAUGCCAAAAUUCUCUUGUUCCUCUGCAUUGUCGACGACAAAUAGUGCCCACCUGCCAUCACUCUGAUGGUUAUCAGCCAUCGUUUUGUUCUGUUUGGAAGUCUUGAAUCCCAUGCAACAAACACAGCAAAAUAUGGAUCAGUGAAGCAAGCAUAACAACAAUUAUCAGCAAUCGCAAUCAAGCAAAAUAUAUAAUAAGGUGCGACAGAGUACGAAGGUACUAGCUGCAACCUUUGAACGUAGUUGUUCGGUCUCACUCUGUCUUUUGCUGGCGCUGGAUAUUUGGUGUGUCCGAGUUGGUGCGUCCUGUGACUGCUGCUUCUUCAGCACACCUAGUCCACUGUUAGGGCAAAUGUUUUCUUUCGAGUCAGCACUGACCUGGUAAAAAGCACAUAACAAUACCGAUCAAUCAAACGAGCAAGACAACAAUUAGUUAGCCUUCGCCAUCAAACCAGGAAACAACACAUGAUGGAGGAACUAGCACCUGGCAUCUCGCCCGUUUAGAUCGAACUUUUUUAUGAUUUGUUUGUUCGUCUGGAUCAAGAGGAUUGGGAAAACUGAGGCCACGGGUUGCGUCGGCAAACGGACCAGGACGUCUUUCUGUCGCAGGACAGAGAAUAAGCAGAAGUAACUCUUGCAAGGAAAUAAACGAACGCACGAUAUGAAGAUCCAUGUGACUAAAUACGAACCCGGAAUCAAGAUCCCUCUAACAAACUACGAACCCACGAAAUCAACAUUCAGGUAUGUAAUGAACUACGAACCCACGAAAUCAAGAUCCAUGUAACACCAUAGGAGCCAACUAAAAAUCAACAUCCAUGGAAGUAUAUGAACCAACGAAAUCACGAUCCAUGUAAUAAAGUACGAACCCACGAAAUCAAUAUCCAUGUAAUAACUAAGAACCCACGAAAUCAAGAUCCAUGUAAUAAACUACUCCUACGAACGGACCACGAAAUCAAGAUCCAUGUUAAACUUGUUACUGGUGGAUCGUCUUAAUAUGAGGGAUAUGAUGCGUCGACGACACUGGAGGAUGGAUGAUGAUGACCAUUGUGUUCUUUGCCGUGGUCGUUUCCUAGAAGAUAGGCAACAUCUUUUCUUCUCGUGCACUUUCAGCCAAAGAGUUUGGUCUUUUCUCCAAAUUGAUUGGCGAUCUGGUUCUUCCUUGGAUGUGGUUGUUCGACAGCCGGGGAAUUCCUUUGGACAUCCAUUCUUGAUUGAGGUUGCAGCUUUUGCUUGCUGGCACAUUUGGAAACAACGCAAUGGUUUGAUCUUUUCUAGGAUUAUGCCUUCAUUCAGCUCCUGGCGUGCCAAUUUUCUUCAUGACUUUCAUCUCUUGAGACAUAGAUUCAAGCCGGGGCUGGUUCCUUGGUUUGUGGCUUUGCUAGAUUCUUUGUUGUAUACUAGUAACAGUAGGCAGUUAGAUAAGGUUUUUAUCUUCCUUUGUCCCUUGUACAGUGUUGUUCCUUUUAUUAAUAAAGUUGCUGUAGGGGUUUCCCCCACAGUUUUUGGUAAAAAAAAAAC